rnacentral:lncRNA from 10 species
UUAAGAGGACUCUUACCCACCCUGGGGGGAAAUCAAGGAAGACUUCCUGCAGGAGAGGGGGCUUGUGCUGAGUGCAGAGAGAGGAGUAGAGGAAGGAGCUACAAGGGCACCAAAGAAGAAUCAGAUCUGGUUCUUGCCUUCAAGGAGCUCGCAGACGGGGGUAGGUAAAGAAUAAAGUGGCUCAAGGCAAAAUGAAGAAAGCACAGAGAGAACUUUCUAAAAGAUGUACCUGGGUCGGGUGUGGUGGCGCAUGCUGGUAAUCCCAGCACUUUGGGAGGCUGA